GUAAUCACUACUGUCAGAGCAGUCCCCUCUGAUGCUGAUGAAGAGAUUGCUGCAUCAAUUGCUGAUCUGAUCUCACAACCGGAUGAAGCAUGGAGUCAAAUGUUUUGUCUAUGAGAUUGUUCUAGGAGGAUUUGAUAUGAUCUGCAGUGGAAGAGACAAGAUUGAAACUCCAGAGCAUUUAAGCAAGCAGAAGAAACAUCAUUGAAGCUUGACUUAGACAAGCAUUAAUAUGUUGUUACUUAUGCAAUGAGCCACAUCAAGUGCAGUUUCUAUUCAUUAUAAUGUCUAUCAAUAUUGUAUUCUUUGUUUGAGGACUCAGGCUGUGUUGCAAAGCUGUUUGUACCAUAAAAUUGUUCAUUUCCUUGCCUUUGUAUUGAUUAAUAACAGCAACUAGAUAAAUGUGUGGCCUAGCAAAAUGCCACAUGUUGAAGUUAUCAUUUCUUUGAACUUUAAAGUUCACCUGCCAAGGCAACAUGGAGCGGUUGUAAGUUAUUAAUGAAGAGAAUAUGGACGCACUAAUAUAGGUGAGUGAGUAAUGGGGAUACUUUGUCAUGGACAAUGGGAUUUAAAUUGCGAGAACUAUGAUUGGGGCUAGGGGGUUUGGUGUCAUGGUGAAGAAUAAGUUUUUAUUUAAUUUUUUGGUUAUCUUAUAUUCAUUAGCAAGGAAUAGGAUAUUUUCGUUA